UACGGAGGGAGCUAGCGUUGUUCGGAAUUACUGGGCGUAAAGCGUACGUAGGCGGCUUUGUAAGUUAGAGGUGAAAGCCCGGGGCUCAACCCCAGAAUAGCCUUUAAGACUGCAUCGCUUGAAUCCAGGAGAGGUGAGUGGAAUUCCGAGUGUAGAGGUGAAAUUCGUAGAUAUUCGGAAGAACACCAGUGGCGAAGGCGGCUCACUGGACUGGUAUUGACGCUGAGGUACGAAAGCGUGGGGAGCAAACAGG
rnacentral:rRNA from 1 species